rnacentral:tRNA from 1 species
CCCAUGCUAUUAAUAGCUCACUUAG